GUCCAUAUAGCUCAGUUGUAGAGCAUUUCACUUUAGAUCAAGAGGUCACCGGUUCGAACCCGUUUGGACC
rfam:Morus notabilis contig6900, whole genome shotgun sequence.